rnacentral:rRNA from 1 species
GGGGAAUAUUGCACAAUGGGCGAAAGCCUGAUGCAGCAACGCCGCGUGAGUGAUGAAGGUCUUCGGAUUGUAAAGCUCUGUCUUUUGGGACGAUAAUGACGGUACCAAAGGAGGAAGCCACGGCUAACUACGUGCCAGCAGCCGCGGUAAUACGUAGGUGGCGAGCGUUGUCCGGAUUUACUGGGCGUAAAGGGUGCGUAGGCGGAUGUUUAAGUGAGAUGUGAAAUACCCGGGCUUAACUUGGGUGCUGCAUUUCAAACUGGAUAUCUAGAGUGCAGGAGAGGAGAAUGGAAUUCCUAGUGUAGCGGUGAAAUGCGUAGAGAUUAGGAAGAACACCAGUGGCGAAGGCGAUUCUCUGGACUGUAACUGACGCUGAGGCACGAAAGCGUGGGUAGCAAACAGGAUUAGAUACCCUGGUAGUCCACGCCGUAAACGAUGAGUACUAGGUGUAGGAGGUAUCGACCCCUUCUGUGCCGCAGUAAAACACAUUAAGUACUCC